CGGAAGUGAGACAGGCAAAAACAAGAUUACGGAAAAGAGAGUGACGUGCGCUUUAUCCGCCGCACGGAGAGACAGCAAAACCUGAAGAUUUCAGCCAGACAUCUCCGCUGAAGUGUUGUGUUUUACAGUGUAUGUUUUAGGGACGUUUUUAAAGACUGCAGAAAGGUCGCUAUGAGUUUCUGAAAUGCACAGUAUGAGAUCAGAAAACUUUCUUAACCUCCAGAGUGUCACUCUUCAGUGAUCAGAAAGCCUCCCUGUGACUCAGCUGUUCCCAGAAUUAGGCAACUCAGAAACAAAAUGAUUAGUAGGAGGUGU